GUUUGUCAAGUCCCUGCAGCUCUUAGUGCCAGAAACCUAUCACACGUCUCAGCAUCUGAUCUCAGGCUGGGAACAGGGCUUGGGGUUUCCCGCUGUUCCUACCAGAUGGCGGCUCCCUAGGGGUCGGACCACGCUGUUCAUGGAGGGAGCCCAGCUGCUGGGUGCAGAGGAGGAGCGGCUUUGUUCCAUUGUUUUUGGACAUCACAAGGGCCUCAUCUCCUGGAACUCCUUCACACCAUCCUGCGGCUCUUCAGGGAAUAAUGCUGACAUCUCGAAGAACUUAAAGACACUGUUACGUGUGUCCACUGAGGCGGAACUAGGACGCUGCCCCAAGCUGCACUCUCGUUUCCCUUACGGGAAAGAAUACGACCAGGACUCGUGGAAAGGGGUCAACAGGGUCAAUGACCCUCCAGCCCCCUUUGCCUGGGACUUCAUUAUCGCAUCUGAGCUGUUGCCCUGCCCCGACCUACCCAGCCCUCCUCCAUCCCGCCUCCACUGUGCUCUUCACAUGCUGCUGGCCUGCAAGAGAAGUCUUCC
ensembl:lncRNA